rnacentral:rRNA from 1 species
ACUCCUACGGGAGGCAGCAGUGGGGAAUAUUGCACAAUGGGCGCAAGCCUGAUGCAGCCAUGCCGCGUGUAUGAAGAAGGCCUUCGGGUUGUAAAGUACUUUCAGCAGUGAGGAAGGUGGGUAUGUUAAUAGCAUACUCAUUUGACGUUAGCUGCAGAAGAAGCACCGGCUAACUCCGUGCCAGCAGCCGCGGUAAUACGGAGGGUGCGAGCGUUAAUCGGAAUUACUGGGCGUAAAGAGCUCGUAGGUGGUUUGUCGCGUUGUCCGUGAAAUCCCACGGCUUAACUGUGGGCGUGCGGGCGAUACGGGCAGACUGGAGUACUGCAGGGGAGACUGGAAUUCCUGGUGUAGCGGUGGAAUGCGCAGAUAUCAGGAGGAACACCGGUGGCGAAGGCGGGUCUCUGGGCAGUAACUGACGCUGAGGAGCGAAAGCGUGGGGAGCGAACAGGAUUAGAUACCCUGGUAGCGAGUAG